rnacentral:lncRNA from 1 species
AUUUUUAACACCUGUAUUGAGAUAUAAUUUACAUACCAUAAAAUUUACCCACCACACAAUUUACCCAUUUUAAGUGUACAAUCCAGCUUGGCAUGGUGGCUCACACUAAUACCAGCACUUUGGGAGGCCGAGGCUGGUGGAUCACUUGAGCCCAGCCAAAUUUUAGCUUUCUUAUUGGGUGUGUGGUACUCAAUGCAUUUCUGGACAACAAAAAUACUUCAGGUAGUCAUCAACAAUGACAUACCUUCCCUUUAUGUAUCAUUUCUUUCUCUGAGAUGAGAAUCAAAGGGCAAGAUCGUAGGCCAGACUGAAAAUGAUUUCAGUCUAUGACCUUCUUUUGCUUCCCUUCUGAAGUUCUCCUUUUGAAAGUGAAGUGAAAAAUAAAUGACCUGAAGUCUUCACUUUUUAUCCUAUCCUAUUUUCUAUCCUAAAAAAGUGCAUUUUGAAUGCUUUCUCCAGUUGUCCUAGAUUUUUG